UACGAAGGGGGCUAGCGUUGCUCGGAAUCACUGGGCGUAAAGCGCACGUAGGCGGAUCUUUAAGUCAGGGGUGAAAUCCUGGAGCUCAACUCCAGAACUGCCUUUGAUACUGAGGAUCUUGAGUCCGGGAGAGGUGAGUGGAACUUCGAGUGUAGAGGUGAAAUUCGUAGAUAUUCGGAAAGAACACCAGUGGCGAAGGCGGCUCACCUGGCCGGUACUGACGCUGACGGUGCGAAAGCG
rnacentral:rRNA from 1 species